rnacentral:rRNA from 1 species
UUUGAUCCGGGGAUUUCCGAAUGGGGCAACCUGGUAUUAUUAAUAUAAUAUCACCUGCAUUUGCAGGGGUAAACGAAGGGAACUGAACCAUCUAAGUACCUUCAGGAAAAGAGAACAACCGUUAUUUCCUGAGUAGUGGCGAACGAAAGGGAAUCAGCCUAAACUGCUUAAUACGUUAAAGUCUAUACAUGUUGUAUUGGCGGGGUUGUGGGGGUGUAUGUGGUUAUGGUAUAGCGUAACCAGGGAGUAAUAAAUCUAAGAAUUAAUUGAAUAUGUCUGGAAAGCAUAGCUAAAAAGGGUGAUAGCCCCGUAAGCAGAAAUUCUUAGACUUUCUUAUACAUUUCCCAAGUACUGCGGAACACGUGGAAUUCCGUAGGAAUCUACCGGGACCACCCGGUAAGGCUAAAUACUACCCGAUGACCGAUAGAGCACGAGUACCGUGAGGGAAAGGUGAAAAGCACC